rnacentral:rRNA from 1 species
UAGGGAAUCUUCCGCAAUGGACGAAAGUCUGACGGAGCAACGCCGCGUGAGUGAUGAAGGUUUUCGGAUCGUAAAGCUCUGUUGUUGGGGAAGAACAAGUACCUGUUAAAUAAGCAGGUACCUUGACGGUACCUAACCAGAAAGCCACGGCUAACUACGUGCCAGCAGCCGCGGUAAUACGUAGGUGGCAAGCGUUGUCCGGAAUUAUUGGGCGUAAAGCGCGCGCAGGCGGUUCCUUAAGUCUGAUGUGAAAGCCCACGGCUCAACCGUGGAGGGUCAUUGGAAACUGGGGAACUUGAGUGCAGAAGAGGAGAGCGGAAUUCCACGUGUAGCGGUGAAAUGCGUAGAGAUGUGGAGGAACACCAGUGGCGAAGGCCGCUCUCUGGUCUGUAACUGACGCUGAGGCGCGAAAGCGUGGGGAGCGAACAG